rnacentral:rRNA from 1 species
UACGUAGGGUGCAAGCGUUAAUCGGAAUUACUGGGCGUAAAGCGUGCGCAGGCGGUUGUGCAAGACCGAUGUGAAAUCCCCGGGCUUAACCUGGGAAUGGCAUUGGUGACUGCACGGCUAGAGUGUGUCAGAGGGGGGUAGAAUUCCACGUGUAGCAGUGAAUGCGUAGAGAUGUGGAGGAAUACCGAUGGCGAAGGCAGCCCCCUGGGAUAACACUGACGCUCAUGCACGAAAGCGUGGGGAGCAAACAGG